AAACUACACCAUCAAACCCUGGCUAGCAACCGUGCUUCCCUGAAAUGGAUCGGCCGUCCUGAAUGUGACUGUUAAAGGGCUGGCAAGCUGCUCGGACCGAUGUUGGACAUGUUUACUGUGAGUGCAGGCAGGAGCUAUGUGGAGAUAGAAGAAAUUCCAGGUGAAAGAUCAGCCCAUCACAUACAGCCAAGUUGCCAGCUCAAUGGUCAAUCCAGCACGGAUGGAAAAAGUGCAAGGAGUCAGCCAGAUUCGAACCCGGGACCACUCUCCUCAAACUCCAGUGUGGCUGCCACCUCACCACCGGUUGGCUAAAAUACAGCACUGGCUUCGUAGGAACAUCAAGAAGAUACAAGAGAAACACGGAGUGCACUGGAAUCCAUUCCUCUGGCUUCGAUUUUUG